CGCAUAACUAGUAUUUAUAGGCAUCGCGAGACGGGCUUUUGGGGGAUUUAGAGAAGUCACCGUGGACUCUGAGAAACGUUCCAUCGUUCUGCUCCAUCUCCUCGCGGUUUCAUCACAUCUUCCGAAAUUGUUGCCGCGACUCUUUUUCGUACCUAUAACCAAAACACAGGGAAAAGGCUCUGCCCGUGCAGGACACACACAUUCGCCAUAAAUAAUUAUUCAUAAGCGGGGCCUGCAGGCUGCGCCGGAAAAGUUGCGCGGGGCCAUUUCUGCGGAAACUUCUGGAUUGCGUGCCGUGUGAGGCGAGCUGAUGGAGGCCGCUGUCACGAGGAAUGAGCGAUUGAGUUAAUGAGAGAAAACGUGUUGUCUGAGCUCAUUAUUUGGGCGGGAGGCUGCGCUCUCUUCCUGCAGCAGCGACACAUAGGAUGUGUGUCAACUGACACAUGGCUCGGAGGAAACCGAUAAAGUCAUCGUGGGAAACACCGAAACCUCACCUCUGCAGCUCUCCUGCAGUGCGCGCCGCCCCUCGCUGCUCUCGCACGGUGCUCGACGGUUUUCAGACCUUUCGAGAGCUCUAACGAUCGCCGAAAUCUGCUUCCAGCUCGACUUGGAGAGUCGCCCACGAUGAACCCGGCGAGAGGCCGCGCCGGUGACACAUGAGCCCCGAUGCCGAGAUGCGAUGAUGAGGAUGGUCUGGAGCGCGUCUCUCUUCGCAGUGUGGAGCCUCACGUGCUGGACAGGUGAGAAACACCUGGGUGACGCUGGUGUUCAGGUCUCUGUUCGGCAGGAGCCUCGUGAGCUCCAUGUGACGGAGGGAGAAAAUGUCACCAUGAACUGCUCUUACUCUGUGAACUCCACUGAAGCAAAGCAAAUCAGGGUGCGGUGGAUUCUGAGCUGCAAUGGAUACCUGAUCCAGCAGAACAAAAGCUGCAGUAAAAUCCAGUCCAACACUUACAAUAUAACUGGAAAGCAGCAGUUACUGGACUCUCUGUCUUUAACGUCUGUACGAAGACACCAGGGUGGGACGUACAUCUGUCAAGCAGUUCUGGAAAUUCCUGAGAUUUUUAAAAGAAAUGGAAAUGGAACUCUCCUGGUUAUUAAAGCAUCAGAUUCUCCUGCGGCCCCGUCGGCAAAGGGACACAUUUCCAUCAUCCUGUAUACAGCACUGACGACUUUUGGGCUCAUGGCAAUUUUCUUCAUAAUAUACUGCAGGAAAAAAGGAAACAACCAUAAUUCUUCCGUUCAAAGGAAAUCAGACUGUCGGGAAUCUCAUGAUGGUGAGACAGAUGUACAAUAUGCAACUCUGAACCUCCCAACAAGUCCCUGCGUCUCUGAAACAGCAGCCCCUCCUCGAAAGAAGCCCAGCGAAGGCCCGCCUGCCCUAGGGGAGCCCGGGAAGGAGGAGAAUGCAGAUGUUGUCUAUUCACACAUCUGCACCAGCAAACACUCAAGACAGACGAGCCGCCGAUGAUGGUCGUCCAAGCGUCACAUCGCCGUUUUAAUUAUUAAUGUCUCUUCAACUACAAUAUUGUCACAGCUCGACUACCUUAAAUCACAAGGCGUGAGUGACACGAUAGUCUGCUUUUUCUCAGCUUCGCCUCCCCGUGUUCCUCUCCAUCCCUGCCUGUGAGCUUCAUCCUCUUUAUGUGCUUUUUUAUUUCAAAUGUGGCCAGAAUGAUUUUCUGCACUCUUUGGCCUCUUCAAAAACUCUUCUCUGAUCAUAAAUAUAUUAACUUGCUGGUUUUCAGAUGAUUUUACAGCUGAGACAUAUUUAUACUUGCUAUUUACUGCGAAAUGGCUCUGUGUAGCUGUUUGUACGCAGCAUUUUUCUCUCUUCAAAGUGUUUCGUUGUUCCUACUGUUUUGCCUUCCCUGUAUUAAUUUUAUUAAUUAAUUAAUUAAGUAAUGUAUUAAUACAUUAUAAAAUAUAUAAUUAAUUAAUAUGACCACAAGGUAUUGUCUCCAUAUUUCAGAAACUUCUGUUGCAGACUAAGCCUUAAUUUACUGGGAUUAAGUUUGUCAUUUAGUCGCAUCACUUCAUGACUCUUUUUAUUCAAAAUCAAUUCAACGCACAAACUGACACUUCGUGUGCUGCAUGUUUCGAUUUCAGCCUGUUUUUUUUCUUUUUGACUGCCGCAAUUUCCACGGAAUUCGUUGUCAUUUAAGUUGUAAAUACAUCAGUUUUGACGCAUUUGAAAAUUUCCCCAAAUGCUAUUUUGAUAUCUUUUCUUUCCUGUUAGUAAAUGUGCCGGGAGGUGUAAGCAGGGGUGUCAGACGGCUUUGCCUUAUUACAGCCUGGUAAAAACAUGAUCAUUUUACUGAUAUGCAUCUGUGCGGAGGUGUGCGAACGACCAUGGAUGUCAGUGCGGUAUAUAAUGGAGUGGAUGUAAUAAUUCAUGCAAUAAUGAUUCAUGAGGUCGCUGUUCACCCGCAGUGUCGCGAAUGUCGAGACGAAGACGGUUUCACACAUUCGGGUGUCACGCAUCAGGUGGGCUCUUAAACCUUCACUCGUUGCGCUUCGAUGUCGUCAUUUGUGCUGUUUGUUAAUACUACAUGCUUUAAGUGAAUUUUUUGUGUCUUUAAAUUUGAUGUAGGCGGUCCAGUGGAGUAAAACAUUUUGAUUUAUGUCAAAGUGGCUCACAGAUAAAAUGUGUGGACAAUCACUGUAUGUAUUGUGCAUAUUUACAUAUAUACAUAUUUAAUACUACAUAUAAACAGCAAUAAUAAAGUAUAUUUAAAAAC
ensembl:lncRNA